GACGAACGCUGGCGGCGUGCCUAAUACAUGCAAGUCGAGCGGACAGAAGGGAGCUUGCUCCCGGAUGUUAGCGGCGGACGGGUGAGUAACACGUGGGCAACCUGCCCUACAGAUCGGGAUAACUCAGGGAAACCUGGGCUAAUACCGGAUAAUCCUUCGAAUCACAUGUUUUGAAGUUGAAAGGCGCUUCGGCGUCACUGUAGGAUGGGCCCGCGGUGCAUUAGCUAGUUGGUGGGGUAACGGCCUACCAAGGCAACGAUGCAUAGCCGACCUGAGAGGGUGAUCGGCCACAUUGGGACUGAGACACGGCCCAAACUCCUAUGGGAGGCAGCAGUAGGGAAUCUUCCACAAUGGACGAAAGUCUGAUGGAGCAACGCCGCGUGAGUGAUGAAGGUUUUCGGAUCGUAAAACUCUGUUGUAAGGGAAGAACAAGUACGUUAGGAAAUGAACGUACCUUGACGGUACCUUAUUAGAAAGCCACGGCUAACUACGUGCCAGCAGCCGCCGUAA
rnacentral:rRNA from 1 species